CUGGAUCUUCCGCUUGGACCGCUCGUGUUUGGGCAGGUUCCAGGGCAGCGUGUCCCCCGGCGCCGGCGACACCGUCCCCGACCGCUGGCUGAAGUCCUCCUCGUCGGAGAGAUCGGCGGAGGACGACAUGGAGCAUCGAACUCCAUGGUGAAGUUUGAAACGUGCAAGUUGAGAGGGAGGGAAUGAAUACAUAAGACCAAUUAACUGAAUUCUUGUUCACUGUACUGUGAUGUAGAGAGAGCAAAAGAAGUUUCCUGCUCACUGAGAUGGUGAGCUUCCACUAGAGGUUGUGUUUCCUCCAGGCGAGGUGUUACACGUCUUCUGGCAUGGCGAGGACUUGAUCUAAAGCCCUGCAACACAAAAAGUGAUCAUCGUGUUUGGCAUCUCCCAAAACGCAGCUGUGGCACUGAACAACAGCAAAAUUACACAGGAUCUUAACAUUAUUUUAACAUGCUUAAAUUAAU